rnacentral:rRNA from 1 species
AGCUCCGCAAGUGUAUAUCUAUUUUGCUGAGUUUAAAAAGCUCGUAGUUGGAUCUGCGUGUUCAGCGUCUGGUGCGGUCUCUGACCGCCACUGGAACGCGACACAUCAAAUGCCGGUUUGCCGUUGAUGCUCCUCAUCGGGUGUCAGCGGUGGCUGGCGAGUUUACUUUGAACAAAUUAGAGUGCUCAACGCAGGCGUUUCGCUUGUAUAUUUCUGCAUGGAAUAAUAGAAUAGGAUCUUGGUUCUAUUUUGUUGGUUUUCGGAAUUGAGGUAAUGAUUAAGAGGGACUGACGGGGGCAUUCGUACUGUGACGUGAGAGGUGAAAUUCUUGGAUCGUCGCAAGACGCACUACUGCGAAGGCAUUUGCCAAGAAUGUUUUCA